rnacentral:rRNA from 1 species
GACGAACGCUGGCGGCGUGCCUAAUACAUGCAAGUCGAACGCUUCUUUCCUGCUGAGUGCUUGCUCUCACUUGGAACGAGGAGGGGCGGCCGGGUGAGUAACCCGUGGGUAACCUACCACUCAGAGAGGGGUAACACUUGACAACAGGUGCUCAUACCGCAUAACAGUUUAUGCCUCAUUGCAUAAGAUUGCAAGGCGCUUUAGGGUGUCGUUGCUGGUUGGAGCCGCGGUGCAUUAGCUAGUUGGUGAGGUAACGGCUCACCAAGGCCACGAUGCAUAGCCGGCCUGAGAGGAUGAUCAGCCACACUGGAACUGAGACACGGCCCAGACUCCUACGGGAGGCAGCAGUAGGGAAUAUUCGGCAAUGGACGAAAGUCUGACCGAGCAACGCCGCGUGAGUGAAGAAGGUUUUCGGAUCGUAAAGCACUGUUGUUAGAGAAGAACAAGGACAUUAGUAACUGAACGUGCCCUGACGGUACCUAACCAGAAAGCCACGGCUAACUACGUG